AAAAAGACAAACCCUAAGUUUCCGUGUCUAACGUUUAACUGUCUGUCUUAUAUAAAAUUUUUUAUAAUUAGUAUUUUUAUUAUUGUUAGAUGAUAAAACAUGAUUAAUACUUUAUGCGUGAUUUGUCUUUUUAAUUUUUUUUUCAUAAUUUAUUUAAAUAAGACGGAUGGUCAAACGUUGGACACGGAAACCCAAGGUUUGUCUUUUU
rfam:Oryza glumipatula chromosome 3, whole genome shotgun sequence.